rnacentral:rRNA from 1 species
GACGAACGCUGGCGGCGUGCCUAAUACAUGCAAGUUGAGCGAUGAAGAUUGGUGCUUGCACCAAUUUGAAGAGCAGCGAACGGGUGAGUAACGCGUGGGGAAUCUGCCUUUGAGCGGGGGACAACAUUUGGAAACGAAUGCUAAUACCGCAUAACAACUUUAAACAUAAGUUUUAAGUUUGAAAGAUGCAAUUGCAUCACUCAAAGAUGAUCCCGCGUUGUAUUAGCUAGUUGGUGAGGUAAAGGCUCACUAAGGCGAUGAUACAUAGCCGACCUGAGAGGGUGAUCGGCCACAUUGGGACUGAGACACGGCCCAAACUCCUACGGGAGGCAGCAGUAGGGAAUCUUCGGCAAUGGACGAAAGUCUGACCGAGCAACGCCGCGUGAGUGAAGAAGGUUUUCGGAUCGUAAAACUCUGUUGGUAGAGAAGAACGUUGGUGAGAGUGGAAAGCUCAUCAAGUGACGGUAACUACCCAGAAAGGGACGGCUAACUACGUG